rnacentral:lncRNA from 1 species
AUUCCUGUGAUUGCAUUAAGGAACAAGCUGGGCUGUGCUUUUUCUCUCUCCAUGUAGUUUCAGGACUUCUCCCUCUUCACAUAGUUUCUACAUGGCAUUUCCAGCAGAAUUCCUGGAUUCUUCCUGAGUUGCUCAGGGAUCCUAAGAGCUCAAGAGUAGAAACUUCCAGCCCUUCAUGAAAUUUCAGUGCAAACUAUCACUUCUGCCAUAUUCUAUUAAGGAAGAAGAGUGACAGGACCACCCUAGAUUCACAGGAAGGGGACUACACAACGUUAUGAACACCAAGAGGCGGUUCACGGGGAGAUGCCAGUAGAGCCAGUGGUGUUCUGACAAAUUGACAGUUUUCCACUUUCCUAAGAAGAAGAAAUGGCCAAAUCCCAGGUAAGUCCUUCCUCCCUCCAUGCUGAAAUGCCAUGUAAUUUGUCAGAGGUGGGGUUAGUGGGGUGCAAUUUGAAAGAAGACAUACUGUGAUAUGUCAAGAUUUAUAGCAGAAGAACAACUGACUGGUUACUAGAGAC